rnacentral:rRNA from 1 species
ACGAACGCUGGCGGCGUGCUUAACACAUGCAAGUCGAACGGUAAGGCCCUUUCGGGGGUACACGAGUGGCGAACGGGUGAGUAACACGUGAGUAACCUGCCCUCAUCUCUGGGAUAACAGUCGGAAACGGUUGCUAAUACUGGAUAUGAGCCUGCAAGGCAUCUUGUGGGUUGGAAAGAUUUUUUGGUUGGGGAUGGACUCGCGGCCUAUCAGCUUGUUGGUGAGGUAGUGGCUCACCAAGGCUUCGACGGGUAGCCGGCCUGAGAGGGCGACCGGCCACAUUGGGACUGAGAUACGGCCCAAACUCCUACGGGAGGCAGCAGUGGGGAAUAUUGCACAAUGGACGGAAGUCUGAUGCAGCAACGCCGCGUGCGGGAUGACGGCCUUCGGGUUGUAAACCGCUUUCAAUUGUGACGAAGCUUUUUGUGACGGUAGCAGUAGAAGAAGCACCGGCUAACUACGUG